rnacentral:lncRNA from 1 species
GAAACUACUAAUUUAUGUUCUAUCUGUAUUAAUGCAUUUUAAAUUUGUUAUCAUGUUGUCAGGAUGUGGUUGCUCUGAGUUCCAUAUCUGUACAUGAAAAGAGGGAAGCAGGUACCAGUUAAGGUCCCAGAUUCCAGAUGGGUCUAUAGUCCACGGUUUCUACGAGGUAUCUGUAUCCAAAAAUAACUGCCUUAAAUUUUUCAUAAAUGAUGUGGCAAGGAGCUGAAGAUAUACAGGAAUAUGUUGACGAGAGUCUUAUCUACCUAUCUUUGCAAAUUCUGCUCAUGAUUCAGCCUGGAAAGGUCCCUGAAAUGAAAGAGGUGGUUCGCAACACAGCCAGAAGCAAUGUGUCCUCUCUCCUCACCGUCCCAUGGAGUAACCUCUUUCCUGUUCUGUCCAUUCUCCACUGAAAACUUUUCUCAGUAAGUUCCCUGGGAAUGUUGUCCUUCCUUUGUUUUUCUUUAUUUUUUUAUUUUAUUAUUUAUUUAUUUAUUUUGACAGGCAGAGUGGACAGUGAGAGAGAGAGACAGAGAGAAAGGUCUUCCUUUGCCAUUGGUUCACCCUCCAAUGGCUGUCGCGGCUGGCACGCUGUGGCCGGCGCACCGUGCUGAUCCAAUGGCAGGAGCCAGGUGCUUCUCCUGGUCUCCCAUGGGGUGCAGGGCCCAAGAACUUGGGCCAUCCUCCACUGCACUCCCUGGCCACAGCAGAGAGCUGGCCUGGAAGAGGGGCAACCGGGACAGAAUCCGGCGCCCUGACCGGGACUAGAACCUGGUGUGCCGGUGCCACAAGAUGGAGGAUUAGCCUAGUGAGCCGCAGCGCCGGCCCCUUUGUUUUUCUGAUAUCUCUCUAUUGCUGAAGUCAGUGCAACUUCUCACUAUUCAAUCAUCUGGCCUCUCCUACCACAUUUCUAUACUUACCUCAUUAUUCGUCUUUUUUUUUUUUUUUCAAGAGCUGUUUUAUUCAUUCUUAAAUUUGAGUGAUAUGGCUCAGAUUCCAAAUGUUGAGAUAUUUCAAUUCUAAUUUUAUCGAGCAAUACACUAGGUAUUUCUAUCACUUAAUAUUGGCAGCACUGAUGGACUAUAGAUCUUCAAUCUUUUCAUUCAAAUUACUGAGUCCAUUCUUAAAACUGCCUUCAUGCCCAUGACCAUUUUCUUCAUUGCCUUCAGAUCUUUGCUCAAAUGUCCUCUUUUCAUCAGGAUCUUCUUAGAACAAUCUUUAAAAUGAUAACUUAUUGCUCCCUUUCCCAUCAUAAAAUCACCCUAAUAUUCUUAGCCCCUUCUAUUUUAUUUUCUCCAAGAAAAGGGCUCAUCUUGUUUCACACUCCAGAGCUGACCUAUUGCUCUUGUGUGUUUACUGUGUCCCUCCACUAAAUUAGAUUGGGAUCAUUUUCCCUCCUUUGUUCCUUUCUAU